rnacentral:rRNA from 1 species
ACGAACGCUGGCGGCACGCUUAACACAUGCAAGUCGAACGAGAGAAGAGAAGCUUGCUUUUCUGAUCUAGUGGCGGACGGGUGAGUAACACGUGAGCAAUCUGCCUUUCAGAGGGGGAUACCGAUUGGAAACGAUCGUUAAUACCGCAUAAUAUAAUUGAACCGCAUGAUUUGAUUAUCAAAGAUUUAUCGCUGAAAGAUGAGCUCGCGUCUGAUUAGCUAGUUGGUAAGGUAACGGCUUACCAAGGCGACGAUCAGUAGCCGGACUGAGAGGUUGAUCGGCCACAUUGGGACUGAGACACGGUCCAGACUCCUACGGGAGGCAGCAGUGGGGAAUAUUGCACAAUGGAGGAAACUCUGAUGCAGCGAUGCCGCGUGAGGGAAGAAGGUUUUAGGAUUGUAAACCUCUGUCUUCAGGGACGAAAAAUGACGGUACCUGAGGAGGAAGCUCCGGCUAACUACGUGCCAGCAGCCGCGGUAAUACGUAGGGAGCGAGCGUUGUCCGGAAUUACUGGGUGUAAAGGGAGCGUAGGCGGGAUCGCAAGUCAGAUGUGAAAACUAUGGGCUUAACCCAUAAACUGCAUUUGAAACUGUGGUUCUUGAGUGAAGUAGAGGUAAGCGGAAUUCCUAGUGUAGCGGUGAAAUGCGUAGAUAUUAGGAGGAACAUCAGUGGCGAAGGCGGCUUACUGGGCUUUAACUGACGCUGAGGCUCGAAAGCGUGGGGAGCAAACAGGAUUAGAUACCCUGGUAGUCCACACCGUAAACGAUGGAUACUAGGUGUAGGAGAUAUUAAGUCUUCUGUGCCGUCGCAAACGCAAUAAGUAUCCCACCUGGGGAGUACGACCGCAAGGUUGAAACUCAAAGGAAUUGACGGGGGCCCGCACAAGCAGUGGAGUAUGUGGAUUAAUUCGAAGCAACGCGAAGAACCUUACCAGGUCUUGACAUCGUAUGCAUAGCUCAGAGAUGAGUGAAAUCUCUUCGGAGACAUAUAGACAGGUGGUGCAUGGUUGUCGUCAGCUCGUGUCGUGAGAUGUUGGGUUAAGUCCCGCAACGAGCGCAACCCUUACUGUUAGUUGCUACGCAAGAGCACUCUAGCAGGACUGCCGUUGACAAAACGGAGGAAGGUGGGGAUGACGUCAAAUCAUCAUGCCCCUUAUGACCUGGGCCUCACACGUACUACAAUGGCUGUCAACAGAGGGAAGCAAAGCCGCGAGGUGGAGCAAACCCCUAAAAGCAGUCUUAGUUCGGAUUGUAGGCUGCAACCCGCCUACAUGAAGUCGGAAUUGCUAGUAAUCGCAGAUCAGCAUGCUGCGGUGAAUACGUUCCCGGGCCUUGUACACACCGCCCGUCACGCCAUGGGAGUCGGUAACACCCGAAGCCUGUAGUCUAACCGCAAGGAGGACGCAGUCGAAGGUGGGAUUGAUGACUGGGGUG